UCCACCCUGGGUGACAGAGCAAGUCUCCAUCUCAAAAAAACAAAACAAAGCCAAAAGCCAAAAACCUCUCAGGAAGGAUUGAUCUAUGUGAGGUCUUUUUUGCCUCAUAUUGUUUGCUUCUCUUUGAAAUGCUGUUUCAAACCCACCAGUUAGACAAUUACUGAGGUUAGUAAGCAUAAUUUAUAUUAUUUAUUGUUCAUACAUUGAUUCUAAUUGUUGGUUACUUCUGUUCAGCUGAAAUCAUUUAUAUUGAGAGAAUAAGAACAUGGUGGCAGGAAGAAACUAUUUUUGAGAAUGGAAUAGAUGGAGAGUAGAGUGAGUACAGGAGUAACUAAUUUUCCUAUGGAGUAUUACCCUAACUUCUCUCUGGUGGGACUGACACCAACACCUACUUCCAAGGAUAGACGUAUGAUCCAAGUCUGACCGAUCAGCAUGUACCAGUCUCUGAACCACAUUGGUUAGAGAUGUGAUCUAAGCCUUUACAGUGGUCAAAUGGACAGAACUUGAAAAUAUGAUGUUGCUUCUUUAAUAAAUGACAUUCAUCUACCUCUCCGCGGAUUUGAU
rnacentral:lncRNA from 1 species